rnacentral:rRNA from 1 species
UGAGGGGCAUGUGAGGGCUGUCGCUGACUCAAAGUCGUGCACGCCCGAGUGUGUCCUCUCGCAUAAUAAUCCAUCUCACCCUUUGUGCAUCGCCGCGUGGGCACCCUUUGGGAUCAUCUCGGAGGGGGCUCGCGUUUUCACACAAACCCCCCUUUUAAAAGUGUAGAAUGACCUCAUUUAUGCGCUAACACGCAAUCAAUACAACUUUCAACAACGGAUCUCUUGGCUCUCGCAUCGAUGAAGAACGCAGCGAAAUGCGAUACGUAAUGUGAAUUGCAGAAUUCAGUGAAUCAUCGAAUCUUUGAACGCACCUUGCGCCCCUUGGUAUUCCGAGGGGCACACCCGUUUGAGUGUCGUGAAAACCUCAACCUCCUUGGUUUCUUCUGGAGACCAAAGGCAGGCUUGGACUUUGGAGGCCUUUGCUGGAACCUCUCUCUUUUGAAGGCCAGCUCCUCUUAAACGAAUUAGCAGGGUCCUCUUUGCCGAUCCUCGACGUGUGAUAAGAUGUUUCCAUGUCUUGGUUUCUGGCUCUGUCACCUUUGGGACCCGCUUCUAACCGUCUUGACCUUGCGUCGAGACAACGUUCGAGCAUGUCUCCCUUCUCGGGAAGCUCCCUCGACCCCACGAACCCUUGACCUCAAAUCGGGUGAGACUACCCGCUGAACUUAAGCAUAUCAAUAAGCGGAGGAAAAGAAACUAACAAGGAUUCCCCUAGUAACUGCGAGUGAAGCGGGAAAAGCUCAAAUUUAAAAUCUGGCGGUCUUUGGCCGUCCGAGUUGUAAUUUAGAGAAGCGUCUUCCGCGCUGGACCGUGUACAAA